rnacentral:rRNA from 1 species
UACGUAGGGGGCUAGCGUUGUUCGGAAUCACUGGGCGUAAAGGGCGCGUAGGCGGCUUUGUAAGUCGGGUGUGAAAGCCUGUGGCUCAACCACAGAAUUGCCUUCGAUACUGCAUGGCUUGAGACCGGAAGAGGUAAGUGGAACUGCGAGUGUAGAGGUGAAAUUCGUAGAUAUUCGCAAGAACACCAGUGGCGAAGGCGGCUCACUGGCCCAUAACUGACGCUGAGGCACGAAAGCGUGGGGAGCAAACAGG